UACGUAGGGGGCAAGCGUUGUCCGGAAUCAUUGGGCGUAAAGCGCGCGUAGGCGGCCCGGUAAGUCCGCUGUAAAAGUCCAGGGCUCAACCCUGGAAAGCCGGUGGAUACUGUCGGGCUAGAGUCCGGAAGAGGCGAGUGGAAUUCCUGGUGUAGCGGUGGAAUGCGCAGAUAUCAGGAAGAACACCGAUGGCGAAGGCAGCUCGCUGGGACGGUACUGACGCUGAGGCGCGAAAGCGUGGGGAGCGAACAGG
rnacentral:rRNA from 1 species